UACGUAGGGGGCAAGCGUUGUCCGGAUUUAUUGGGCGUAAAGCGCUCGUAGGCGGUUUCUUGCGUCGGCUGUGAAAUCCCGAGGCUCAACCUCGGGUCUGCAGUCGAUACGAGCAAACUAGAGUGUUGCAGGGGAGACUGGAAUUCCUGGUGUAGCGGUGAAAUGCGCAGAUAUCAGGAGGAACACCGGUGGCGAAGGCGGGUCUCUGGGCAACAACUGACGCUGAGGAGCGAAAGCGUGGGGAGCGAACAGG
rnacentral:rRNA from 1 species